rnacentral:rRNA from 1 species
UACAGAGGGUGCAAGCGUUAAUCGGAAUUACUGGGCGUAAAGCGCGCGUAGGUGGUUUGUUAAGUUGGAUGUGAAAUCCCCGGGCUCAACCUGGGAACUGCAUUCAAAACUGACAAGCUAGAGUAUGGUAGAGGGUGGUGGAAUUUCCUGUGUAGCGGUGAAAUGCGUAGAUAUAGGAAGGAACACCAGUGGCGAAGGCGAUCACCUGGACUGAUACUGACACUGGAGGUGCGAAAGCGUGGGGAGCAAACAGG